rnacentral:rRNA from 1 species
AGCAGCCGCGGUAAUUCCAGCUCCAAUAGCGUAUAUUAAAGUUGUUGUGGUUAAAAAGCUCGUAGUUGAACCUUGGGCCUGGCUGGCCGGUCCGCCUCACCGCGUGCACUGGUCCGGCCGGGCCUUUCCCUCUGUGGAACCCCAUGCCCUUCACUGGGUGUGGCGGGGAAACAGGACUUUUACUGUGAAAAAAUUAGAGUGCUCCAGGCAGGCCUAUGCUCGAAUACAUUAGCAUGGAAUAAUAGAAUAGGACGUGUGGUUCUAUUUUGUUGGUUUCUAGGACCGCCGUAAUGAUUAAUAGGGACAGUCGGGGGCAUCAGUAUUCAAUUGUCAGAGGUGAAAUUCUUGGAUUUAUUGAAGACUAACUUCUGCGAAAGCAUUUGCCAAGGAUGUUUUCAUUAAUCAAGAACGAAAGUUAGGGGAUCGAAGACGAUCAGAUACCGUCGUAGUCUUAACCAUAAACUAUGCCGACUAGGGAUCGGAUGAUGUUAAUUUUUUAAUGACUCA